rnacentral:rRNA from 1 species
ACGCUCGACACCUACGGGAGGAGCAGUGGGGAAUAUUGCACAAUGGGGGAAACCCUGAUGCAGCGACGCCGCGUGGAGGAAGAAGGUCUUCGGAUUGUAAACUCCUGUUGUUGGGGAAAAAGAGGAUGGUACCCAACAAGGAAGUGACGGCUAACUACGUGCCAGCAGCCGUGGUAAUCUGAGCGGGCUGGCAAGGC